UACGUAGGGUGCAAGCGUUGUCCGGAAUUAUUGGGCGUAAAGAGCUCGUAGGCGGUUUGUCGCGUCUGCUGUGAAAACUCAGGGCUUAACCCUGAGCCUGCAGUGGGUACGGGCAGACUAGAGUGUGGUAGGGGGAGAUCGGAAUUCCUGGUGUAGCGGUGGAAUGCGCAGAUAUCAGGAGGAACACCGGUGGCGAAGGCGGAUCUCUGGGCCAUAACUGACGCUGAGGAGCGAAAGCAUGGGGAGCGAACAGGA
rnacentral:rRNA from 1 species